GAAAGGCAUGCCAAAGUGCUCUAUGAAAUUUCACUCUGUCCUUUCUGAGGCCAGCUAGAUGCCCAUGAAUCAGUUGCAACAGACAGAUACCCAAACCUGGCCAGCAAACAGCUUAUAAAUGUGAAAGAAGAAAUUAUGGGAUCAAAAACACAGCUUUCAUGACCAUCCUGUGCACUAGACAAGGAGGAUCUAAUUACUGAGGAUUUAAGUGACUUGCCCCAACUGAGCUGCUGACAGAGCCAGACCACUGCUCCUUCACCCAACCACACUGACCCUCUGCAGCCAUAGGAAAUUGUGGACUCUUAUUUGUGAAUUAAAAGGGUGUGUAGCAGGAAGAAUCAUUUAUAUUCAUAGAAACAUCGAAUAUUACAGCAUGCUACUUUAUAUCAACUGAUUCAUACCUUCAAGGAGCAAAUUAGAAAAUAAGACAAAGGAGAUGUAGCAAAGCUUUAAACACAACUUUUAAUUCAUUACAACAGCAACAAGUAAGACAUAAACGACUACUAUCUAUUACCUACCUAUAAGAGUAAAGAUGAGACUGAUUUGUAACAAAAGUGAAUUUGGGUUUGUUUGCUUGAUUCUUUUCACAUCUCGUGGCAAAGGUGAACAAAAUUAUAAGGAAAUUUUCAGAAUCUUUAUUCUUACAGACUUUUAAAAUAUAAUACUCGAUAUAAGUAAGUCUCCUGUUCCCUCUUUCCUGACUAUAUCUCAUUCUCUUUUCUAGUGAUAGAGAGCUGAAAUAAUCAGCCAUCUUAAAAGUAACUUCCAGGUCUUUAAUCUUACAAUUUCUGGAACCUUCCUCCCUGUUUUCUUUAAACUAUAUUAAAGCUCCCUCCCUGCCUUUAGCUAUUCCUUUAAAAAUGUACAUCUCCAAAUUUUGCUGGUCUCCUCUUCAACCAGAAGCAGUCAGGAUCACGUUUUAUGGAAUAAGGCUACCAGCAGGAAUCUGAAGAAUCCUCAGGUCAAGCACUUCUCAACCAUUAUGUUUCUUUCAACAGCUAGGUUACAACCUCCUGGCCAUAAGAAAAAUUGCCUCAAGUCUUACCUUAAUUCUUCCAUUUUAAGAUAAUUUCAGGUAACAGCACAUAUUUGUUUGAGAGUCCACUGUACCAUUCUCCUUUUUCUGAUUAAAUAAAUGCUACCCUGAUUUUUUUUUAAUUUCAAGUUUCUCUUCAAACCUGUAUUACUCUUUAUUAAUGAUCAAGUGCAAAAUUACUUAUGAUCAUUGUAAAAGGAUCCUUCUAGAUUCAAAAGUUUCUCAAGAUGGGUGUUUUUGCUUUUUUUUUUUUUUUUCUGCCACGUUUGUCAAAUAUUUCCUGAGACCUAUUUUAAAAUAAUAUAAUGUGGUGAAUCAAAUUAAACUUUUGGUGUUCUCUGUACAACAAUAUUCUAAAUGACUGCUACUGGAAAUGACUUUUGAACACAUUUUAUGGCCCAUAUUUGUGGUGAUAACAAUAACAAUAAUAAUAAACAUUUAUUUUGUGCUUAUAUGUACCAAUGUUUCAAAUGAAUUAUCUCAUUUAAGCAUCAAGGAAGAUGAUCUCAUUUCUAUACUUCAGAUUAUUUCCUCAGGUAAAAUUCCAAGAUGAGGGAUUCCCAGGUUACUGAAUUGCAUUUUGCAAAUUCAAGAUAUAAUUGUAUCCAAAAAGAUUAUAUCUGCUUAUGCUCAUACAUCAAUGCAUGAAAACACCUUUCACCCCAUAUUUUUGUCAGCA